CAACACGUUUAUUAGGAGAGCAUUGACUGC
rnacentral:piRNA from 1 species